CAGGAUUAGUAGAGGCUGGGUUAGUAAGUCAGAGCACACACCAGCGGACAGGGCACCUCAGCAGACACACGCGGGAGUCACUAGGAGAGAAGGAAGAGCACACGCAGGUCUGUUAGUUUGUUAAAGGAUGAUCGGGGCGCCGCUGGGCACCCCCGGGUUAGACGGGUUAGUAACCGAACAAAAGAGCUGCCUACGGAGAAGAAAGCUGAGGAGGAGGAAGAAUGGGGGGAAGAGACGGUUAGGGGUUCCAAGCGAGAGUCUGGCCCCAGGCAGAAGGGUCUGUGUGCAGAACACCCAGAGGGACCAGGGCCUAGGCAGGGGACGUGAUCAACCAGGUUUUCUGGGCCUCCCAUGCCCACCCUUAUAUUUUUUUUUAAUUACCUGCCAUGUGCCAAGACCUUUAUAUUCACGGGAAUCCCACUGCAAUCUGUGAAGGAAGGAUCAGUCCUCCCAUCUGAGGAAACUGGGGUUCAGAGAGGUGAGGGCACUUGCCCAAAGUCGCCCAGCACAAAGUGGCAGGGUUGGUGGCGAGUCCUGUUUGCAUGCCCUGUCCUGGAAUGCGGGUCUGCACAGAGAUCCCAGGCCACAGGCAGGGCCUUCCGGAGCCUCGUCUGCCCCCACGUCCCAGCCCCCUGAAAGGCCCAUGAGCUCCAAGAAGCUCUCAGCUAAGCCACAUCUUUCUCAUCCUUCGUGGCCCUGCUUGGUUCUGCCUCGCUGGGAAGCCUGUCCAGCCUGCUGCAGCCCGCACUGGGAUCUUACUCCCAGCCCCUAAACACUCCGAACCUGUGCCUCAGUGGACCGUUUUAUGCCCCAUUGUCCAAUUCUCCAUGUGAGCUGGUUGUCUCCCGCGUGGGAUGGCCAGAUUGUCCCCUGUGUUCCCUCAAAAGGCCUAACACAGGGAAGGACCCACGAGAAGGGGCCAUGUGAGGACACGGUAGGAAGGUGCCACCUGCAGCCAAGGAGAGAGGCCUCAGCGGAAACCACCCCUGGCAUCUUGAUCAUGGACCUCCAGCCUCCAGAACUGCAAGAAAAUGCCUUUCUGCUUUUGAAGCCCCCCGGUCUGGGGUAUUCUGUGAUGGCAGCCAAGCCGACUCAUGCAGGCCCCCUCCCCUGCCAGGAAAAUGAUGAGGGGCUUUGAAGAAAGGCUGAGGCUGCUCCAGGACAAGCACUGGGACCGGCCCCCUGGAGGGAUUGGCCUAAGGGGAGACCCGGAAGGGGCCGGAAGUGAGUCUGCAGCCGUGUGAUGGGGAGGCUGCAUGUGGCUGGGCCCGCCUGCCUGCCUUUGCUGCCCAAGGACACAAUUGGAGAUUGGUGCAACAAGGAGCAGGGGGCUGACAUCAGGCUGGGGGGACCCCUCAAGCCUUGGGGCCAGGGGGGUUCUAGCCCAUUCUCUUUGGACGGUGGGAACAAAGCCCAGUGUCUGUCUCCUUCUGGCGACCUCCCCUGGCCUAGGUCCCCUCAUCUCUAGGAAACUCUCCCCCUUCAAGGCGGCACACCCUCUCCCCUCCAGCUGCCCCUCCCAGAGCUCGGCGACACGGAGGAAGGCCCCCGCUCCCCCGACCCUGCCUGCCUCCUCCCUGUGACCAUCAGGAAGAGGAGAAGCACAGAGAAGCCCCAUCCAAAAGGCACCCCCCAAAAUAAGAAUCGCUCACAUGACAAACAGCACAUGAGACUCCAGCCCACAGCACCCCCGAGCUGCGACGCCCCCCCCACCCCCAACCCCUGGCAGCUCCUCCGGAUUCCCAGCCUGCUUUCCUGCGUCCGUCCUGGAGGGUCCUUUGAGACCCGGCCUUGGGGACGGGGUGGUCAGUGGGGUUCGGGCCGAGCUCUGUCUGGUCGUGAGCAGGGAUGCCGGGAGGAAUGAAGUCCACACGGGGUCAGGAAGGGUCUCCGGGCCCGGACAGGCAGGCCCAGCAGCCAGGCCCUGUGCUUGGCUGAGCUCCAGCCAGGAGGGGGCCUCUAUCCACAGGAGGCUUCAUCCCGGGAGCUGGAAAGGAUAAGGUCUUCGGGGAAUUGUUGAGGGCUCCAGAAAAGCACCGAAGGUUCCUCCGUGUGUCCUCGUGGCUGGAGUCCAGAGUCGCCCGGGCUCCAAAGAGAAGACCAGGCCAAGAGUCUUGGAGACACAGCUGGGGCAGAGUGGCCUGGAGGAGACACAGCGAGCUCGGAGGAGGGCACAGCCUCCGUGCCCAGCUCUCCAUACCCCCAGUCUAACCCCACCUCCGAGGGGGGCACCUUCAGAGACCCCAGUCUCCCUCCUGUGCCCCCAACACCUAGACAGGGUGGGGUUGACGGCCUUGGACACUAAAACCUUUUAGAGGAAACUCAGGAAUAGAGAGGAAGCAAUGGAAGCCACGGAUAC
ensembl:lncRNA